rnacentral:rRNA from 1 species
GAUGAACGCUGGCGGCGUGCUUAACACAUGCAAGUCGAACGGAAAGGCCCAAGCUUGCUUGGGUACUCGAGUGGCGAACGGGUGAGUAACACGUGGGUGAUCUGCCCUGCACUUCGGGAUAAGCCUGGGAAACUGGGUCUAAUACCGGAUAGGACCACUUCUUGGAGGUUGUGGUGGAAAGUUUUUUCGGUGUGGGAUGAGCUCGCGGCCUAUCAGCUUGUUGGUGGGGUAAUGGCCUACCAAGGCGUCGACGGGUAGCCGGCCUGAGAGGGUGUACGGCCACAUUGGGACUGAGAUACGGCCCAGACUCCUACGGGAGGCAGCAGUGGGGAAUAUUGCACAAUGGGCGCAAGCCUGAUGCAGCGACGCCGCGUGGGGGAUGACGGCCUUCGGGUUGUAAACUCCUUUCGCUAGGGACGAAGCGUUUUGUGACGGUACCUGGAGAAGAAGCACCGGCUAACUACGUG